UUAUUAUAAUUUUAUUAAAUUUCGAAUUUUCGCUAUUUUCAUCGCAACAUUUCCCCGGCCUUGCUACUGCCUCUCCCAUCAGCUGCACUUUUCAGCGUUCCCGAUCUGCGGUCAGCCUUCUUCUCGUGGCUUGGGAAAACCUGGCGACUCCAUCUGUUCCACUAGGGUAUUUCCUCUAUAAUCUUAUCGCCCUCUUGGCGGCUCCAUCCCUUCCGGCAAGGUACUUCCUCUCCCCCUUUGUCGGACAAUUUGUCAACUGCUUCGCCUCCCCCCCCCCUACAAUGCGUUUCUCCGCCUCUUUCUCAGCGGAAUCUGCUCAAACGGGUUUCUCCUUGGAAGUUUCCGUCAUCUUCUCGAUGGUGUCAAUCGCCAACUCUUAUAUGAAUUUUACACAUUUGUUUUGAUUUAGGAUAGAAAACAGAGCCGGUCAUCAUUCCUCCAUUUUGAGAAAAAAAAACUUCCCAAUUACACAACCGAAUAAAAAUACAAACUAAAAUUCCAAAUUUGGAGAGAUUGGACUUUAGAGAGAUUAGACCUUUUUUUUGGAUAGAUCUGGCUAGGUAUUGGUAUUUUGUUUUGGCUGUUGGGAUUGAAAUUCAAGGGUUUGAUUUAUUUAUUUUUUGAAAUUAUCUUGGCUUUGGCUAUAGAGACAAAAAGAUCAUUCAUGUGAUCGAUCAUACUCUGAUACCAUGUUCAAAAGUAAAAUGCGGAAAAUAAAAGACAUUAAAAGCUUUAUGGACUAUAUUGUAUUAGACUUUAAUUAAUUUUCUCAAUGGUUACACAACCUUUUAUAUACUCUAAUUCUAGCUAUACAUGGAAAAUAUAUUUUUAAUUAUACUAAUAUCCUUUUUAUUUGAUUUUCCAUAAUCUUUAAUUGAUUUUCUUCUUUAUUCUUGCCAUAACUUCAUCUCUUGAUUUCUUGUUUACCAAUUAACUGAUUUCUCCAUUCCAACAUAUCAAUCCUCAUUCUCCCAGAUGAUGGAUGUGUAUUGUAUGAUAUGUGGCUUGUUCUUGGAUAGCCGAUUCUCUUAAAUCGAGCCUUGUGCGGCUUUAUUUAUACUACACUCGUCCUUUAAAAAUAAAAAUUAUUUUCAUUUUGGUAUUGAAAUUUUAAACUCUCAAUUUAGGUGGGACCCAUUCUUUACUUUUAUCACUUUUUUAUUUUAUCUGUCUCUUAUUUUACUAAUUGUACAUUAAAAGUUGUGUUGUUUCAAAAAUUUCUAUUUCUAAAAGAUGGAGGUAGUAGUUAGGAAGAGAUCGAGCUUCAAAUGGCAAGAAAAUAGCGAAAAUCUCUCUACGGUGACGCCGCACGACGAAGGAAAAGGCACAUCGAGAAAAGACAGUGCUGAGGAACGUCCGUCCGAGAUGGAGAAUCACUACAGCGACGCCGCCCAGCCGUUGAGGCGAGGGAGAGAGAAUGUCGAUGAAGAGGAACUCGCCAAGACCAACAGCAAGACACAUGGGAAUAAGGUGAAACAAUCGAGGAAUUGCCUGGUAGAGGGGGAUAGGAAGUACCCUCCGGACAAUUCCUCUCUUCCUCUUCUUCUCCACCACCUUUUCACUCUUCUUCUUGCUGGCCGAUCUCCUCACCACACCACUAUUCACCACAGUUGCCUUCUCUUUAUUCACCCUAAUUGUUUUCGAUAGAUCAUAAACAUUGGCUCGUGCGGCUUGGAGAAUGUCGUCUCUUUGUCAUUCUUGAUUUUCUUCUCGAAAUUAUUUUUCAUCCUUCUGAUUUUAUCAAGGAGAUGUGUUCGGCUACCAUCAACCUGCAGAUCUUCCUUGAUAAAAGAAUGAAUUGCAUGUUUAUAUCUCGAGCUGGAUCUGUUUUAUGAUUAGCUAAGUAGUCGAUCAUCCCCUUCAAGAUGACAAUCUCGUCGUCCUCGCUCCAGAUUCUCUAGAAUAGGUUAGACUUCCUCUCCGAUGUCUCAGGCUCAGCGGACUUCUUGGGAGUAUUUUUAACAUUGUGUUUGGGGGAAACCACAUCAGCAGCAUCAUCAGAAGUAUUUUUAACAUCACGUUUGGGGAGAAACCACAUCAACAACAUCAGAAGUAUUUUUAACAUCGUGUUUAGGAGUAACAAUGAUAAGUCUCAUUUUAGGCCUUGGUUACUGGUCAGUAUAAUGUUGGAUGUUUUAGUGUAAUUGGAUAUACUUGAUUGAUCAACGUGAUCAUAAUGAGACAUUAAAUAAGUUGGAAGUGCGGAGUGUACACUUAUUUGAAUUUCUUAUGAUUAGACGGGGGUUCGUCGGUAGUCUUUGGACAGCCCUUCCGGCCCUAAAGCUAAGUUCUUGACCCCUUCCUUACUUAGUGUAGUUAUUUGAUUUGGCACAGUAGCUAUGUGAUUACUGAUUUUGAUUUGUUUGGGAACUUGAUUGAUGAGAAAGCGAUGAUGUUCUUGACAAUUGUUUUAGAAUCUAUGAUGAAGCUUUGUUUACAUAAAAUGAAAUUGGUGUUGCUAGAUUCUUUGCAAUAUGAUAUUGAAACAUAAGAUUUGUUUGGGGUAACAAAAAGAAUAUCAAGAAUCUAUGUUAAAGCCCCCUAUUUCCUUUUGUACAUGCUUGGCUAAUGACAUGGAUUGUUAUGGAAAGAAGUUGGAUUUGAUAGUGUUACCCGUAGAGGGCUGUGAAGAGGGAGAAUGAACUCUUCUUGUUGCUAUUAACUCUCAAUUCUUGUUAAAUUUGUUGGGUUUUCGAAGAGUGUGGAAGGGGAAGAACUUGCUGUCUGUGAAGGGUGUUUUUAUAGGCAAGCUUGGAGUACUUUAGGGAAUUAAAUGGCUGAUACUUUCGCAGGUGUACAAAUCGUAACAUGUCUUCCUUUUUCUGAUUUCCUAGCUCCUUUCUCUUGAUGUAAAAAGAUGUUUAGUUGGGUACCUAGUACUUGGCCAUUAAACAUUUUGUUUGUUCUUGCAUAGUGUACCAAAAGAGGGUGCAGGGCUGAUCUUGAAGGAGGGGCGUUUGUAGGGGAAACUGCAAGUCUUCGGCUGCCACCGUGCUGACUCGGGCCCAACGGGCCGUUGGAAACGGGCUGCGAUUUGGGCCUAAUGAAAAGACCCCGAAGUGCUCGUUUGGAAGCUUACAUUCCGUUUUCCUUUCUUCGUGUAAUUCCUUUGAAAUUAGUUGGUAGUUUAUUGUGUAUGUAAAGAUAUUCGAACUCCUUUGGUCAAAAAAAAACAAAACUUUUUGUGCUCC